rnacentral:rRNA from 1 species
AGUGAACGCUGGCGGUAGGCCUAACACAUGCAAGUCGAACGGCAGCACAGUAAGAGCUUGCUCUUACGGGUGGCGAGUGGCGGACGGGUGAGGAAUACAUCGGAAUCUACUUUUUCGUGGGGGAUAACGUAGGGAAACUUACGCUAAUACCGCAUACGACCUACGGGUGAAAGCAGGGGAUCUUCGGACCUUGCGCGAUUGAAUGAGCCGAUGUCGGAUUAGCUAGUUGGCGGGGUAAAGGCCCACCAAGGCCACGAUCCGUAGCUGGUCCGAGAGGAUGAUCAGCCACACUGGAACUGAGACACGGUCCAGACUCCUACGGGAGGCGGCAGUGGGGAAUAUUGGACAAUGGGCGCAAGCCUGAUCCAGCCAUACCGCGUGGGUGAAGAAGGCCUUCGGGUUGUAAAGCCCUUUUGUUGGGAAAGAAAAGCAGCAGGUUAAUACCCCGCUGUUCUGACGGUACCCAAAGAAUAAGCACCGGCUAACUUCGUG